UUAGCCGUGAGUGUUAAUGACGCAGAUGUCAGUAAAUUAUGAUACUGAAAUUAACUGACGUUUAAUAAUUUUUUUAAAGGCGGUAAAUUUAAAAAAAUAAAAAUUUCAAAAAAAUGCACUUAUCGUUUUUUUAAUUUUCUACAUGUGCAAAUUUUUAAUUUUUUUUUUAGUUUAAUUGUUGAAGAAUUCAAAAAUUUUUAAUUGUCUGCUAACUUCAGAAUCAUAAAUCGUGAUACAAGUCAGCUGACGUUUAAUAAUUUUUUGAUUUUUUUCAAAAUGAUAAAUUAUAAAAAAAAGUAUUUGUAAAAAUUGCUCUUGUAGUUUUUUCAAUUUACUACAUGUGGAUUUUUUUUUGUAAUUGAUUUGUUGAAAAAAAGUCCGGAAAUCGAUAAUUAUUUGCUUCAGGAUCAUGAGAAAAUUAUCGUUCCAUUAAAAUAGUGGCUUUAAGAAAUUAUUCAAUUGGUUAAAUAAAUUUAACAUGACAGUAGUCGACAAUUGUAAAUAUUGAAUUAUUAUAUUUGUUAAUGUGAAAUCAUAAGAGAUAAAAUUUAUUUUGGCUUGAAUAUAUUUAAUAUUACGAUUAAUUACAGUAACGAUAAAAAGAAAUCGAUUUUUUAAAUUUUAUAUAAAUUUUUUGUACUUAAUAAUUAAUUAAAAUGAUUAAGUUUUUGUUGACCUUCGGUAUUGGUAUUUAUACUGGAAUUUACAUCUGUCAAAAUUAUGAGGUUCCAAGAGUGGACGAGCCAUCAAAAAUUCUAGACAGGAUACGAGAAUUUGCUGACGACCAUAAAAAAAAAUAAAACAAAAUGAAUAAUAAUCGAUCACUGUAUAUACAAUAAUUUUUUUCUUUGUUUUUCAAUUAUGUUUUUUUAUUUUUAAUUUUUUUUUAAAUAUAAACUUGCCCGAAAUAAUUCGGUAGAUACAAAUCUAUUGAUUUAUUAUAAUUUAAUUUUUUGUAAUGAUAGACUGUUGAAUAGUAAAACAUUUACAUUUAUUGAUGAA